GACAGGUUCUGGAUAAUCCUGGGGAAAUACUGUUCACAUUAGAUGAGAGCUUUAUAUUGACCAAAGAGGAUUCCAAUGACCUUCCAGAGACCUUGACAGAGACUGUGACUUGGACACUGGACAGACGGCUCCUGACAGGCUAGGGGUUUCGGUUGUGCUCUCAGGACAUUGUGCAUAAGUACAGCAUUCCUUUUUUUAAAAGAAGUGUUUCUGGAGAAGACUCACGUCCCACUACUAAAGCAGUUCAAGCUAUUGCAUAUAUUUUGGAGGUCUCCUUUGCAAACCUCUAGUGAAUGUCCAGUUCAGGGUGUCUAAUUCGACCCAGGCAUAAAGAGAAGCAGGAUGAACAGAGAGAAAAGCCAGCAAGAAGAGAUCAUGAUUUGGCCCAUGAAUAUAAGAUUCCCUUAUCCUGUUAUCAUAGUCAAAGAAGACCAAGAGAGAGAGGAUCUCUUUUUGAAUAAAAGCAGAAUGGGAGUGUGGGAUCCUUAUAAUUUACUAGACAUGUUACUUUCCUGAAGACAGUAACCUACUAAGCUAAAAGUCACCGAUGGGCCUGAAGAGAACUCUGGUAAGAUACACACUAUGCAUGUGCUAGCAGGCAGUGAAAUACAGACGUGUUUUGAUUGAUUUGUGUGCUGCAGGGGAAGCGGGGGGGAAGACAUUUUCUUUGCUCCAAAUGAUUCAAAGUGACAUUCUACUGAUAUCUGCUGAAAGUCAUAAUUUUAUACACCAUGUUU